rnacentral:lncRNA from 1 species
CAAAUCAAAUAUUAUUAUUAUUAUACACACACAUUUAUUUUAUAUAUACAUUUAUAUAUACACACAUACACACACAAGAGUGGACACGAUUUACGAUUAAUAUCCAACCUCGAUGACAUCAAAUCACUAUUUGCUUUCACGAAAUGAAUAAUAAACACAAUUCAAACGUAAUGAUAGAUUCAUAUAAAAAAAGAAAAAACCGUGGAUUGAAGUGGAUGAUACGAAAUAAAUAUCGAUACAAUUCGUACACGUACAAAAAAAAGGACAAUUUGACAAUUGUAACAUUUCUUUGAAAUCGUCGUGGAAUCGAUACAUUGAUUUAUCACGUGUAAUAUAAACGACACGAAGCAAAUAAAUACAAGAGUAAGAUGAAACGUAAGCUUUAAGAUUGAUGUUUCUUCCGAUCUCUAACGUUUUAAUUAGGCUAAUUUAUUAGGGUAAGUAACUGGGGCCCACUAUGAACAGUUUGGGGAUGACGUUCGUCACGAAACGGGUCACGCGACUAACGUGUCCGUUAAUUGCUUACACGGGCUCAAGUUUAUGUCAGGUCAACAGCUUAAGGGGCUAAGUCGCUGAAAGCGCGCUUAAUUGCCCAAGUUGCGAUAAUUCCUGACUUCCUUAAUUGCAGAAACAUGAUUCAAACGAGCGGAAGUGAACUUUCUACGAAAGAUGUUGGGAUCGAGACGAAGAGAUUUACCUGAUUUAUCUUCGAUUGUUGAUUACCCAAUUGCAGUACAAAAAAUUUUAAUAAUUAAUCGGAUUAACGAGAUUCGUUUUAUCCAGAAAUACUUACGUGAAAGCACAGAAUUGGGAAAUUUAACCAAUAUGUCAAAAAAAAAAAUACGAAUAAAUAACAAUUAAGAAAAACUGAAGAAAUAGUAACACAGGAAAUAGAGUCUCAACUUUCGAAUUUGAUGAGAAUCGUAGAUAUCUCGAAUCCCAAUUAUUCUUUCGAUUCCCACACGAGAAAAAGAGGGCAAAAAUCAAUAUUCUAUAGUCAAUAAAAUAUUCAGUCCAAUCUGAAUUGUCAAUCGUCAUACGCUUGAGAUCAAACACCACUUUCGAUAAAAAUAAAAACCUGUUCCAAUACACCAAGAACACUUGAUUGUCAUCUUAACGAUCUCCCUUUAGAAAUAAUUCCCGCCAAUUAUUAAAGCGGUUAACGAUGCAGAGAGAUCACAAAGCGGUCCAACAUUUGUAUUCUUCUCAAAGAAUGUGUUCUCGAUUCGUCGAUGUUUUGUCAACAUUCAGAGAGACGAGUGAGCGUACAAAUGUCCAUCCAACCGAGUAACGAGCUGGCACCGAUAUAAUCCUUUGAUGGUCUUUUGAUGAACAGGGAGAGGGUGGGGCCAUGAUGCGCUCGAUUCAUUAGAUCUCUCUGCCAACCACUGUUCUGUCAAUGGAUAGCGUAUCCGCACGCGAACGUACAUGUGUUCAUGUGCGUGCAGGAUGUGCCCGGAGCGUGGAACUCUGUGCAUCGAGUCAAGAUUUACAUAUAUGAUUCAGCUUAGUAAUAUUAACUGUAUGCAUGAGAGCGGAACUCCUGUUUCUGAUCAUCCAUGAGAGUUAAUUUAACGUGUAUAUAGUGUGUAUAUAGAGCGUGUGUCGACGUAUCCCGAUGUAUUGAGACGGGGAUUAAUUAAGUUGCGAAUAAUAAAUUUUAACUCUGGUUAUUAGAGGCUAGAUUAAUUUCAUCCGAA